CCCUUAGAUGUCCUGGCCGCACGCGCGCUACACUGAGUGUCUGAGAUACGAGUCUGCCUGGUCCGGCAAGGUCUAGGUAAUCGCUAAAAGACACAUCAUGCUUGGGAUAGAUUAUUGCAAAUAUUAAUCUUGAACGAGGAAUUCCUAGUAAGCGCAAGUCAACAGCUUGCGUUGAUUACGUCCCUGCCCUUUGUACACACCGCCCGUCGCUACUACUGAUUGGAUGUUUAAGCGAGGUUCUCGAACUGCUAGCGACUUAGCUUCGGUGAGGUCGCAGUGUGGGAAGUGAACCUAGCUUUGGUGUCUAGAGGAAGUAAAAGUCGUAACA
rnacentral:rRNA from 1 species